GAGUUUGAUCCUGGCUCAGGAUGAACGCUAGCUACAGGCUUAACACAUGCAAGUCGAGGGGCAGCAUGAACUUAGCUUGCUAAGUUUGAUGGCGACCGGCGCACGGGUGAGUAACACGUAUCCAACCUGCCGAUGACUCGGGGAUAGCCUUUCGAAAGAAAGAUUAAUACCCGAUGGCAUAGUUCUUCCGCAUGGUAGAACUAUUAAAGAACUUCGGUCAUCGAUGGGGAUGCGUUCCAUUAGGUUGUUGGCGGGGUAACGGCCCACCAAGCCUUCGAUGGAUAGGGGUUCUGAGAGGAAGGCCCCCCACAUUGGAACUGAGACACGGUCCAAACUCCUACGGGAGGCAGCAGUGAGGAAUAUUGGUCAAUGGACGAGAGUCUGAACCAGCCAAGUAGCGUGAAGGAUGGCUGCCCUAUGGGUUGUAAACUUCUUUUAUACGGGAAUAAAGUGAGGCACGUGUGCCUUUUUGUAUGUACCGUAUGAAUAAGGAUCGGCUAACUCCGUGCCAGC
rnacentral:rRNA from 1 species